AUGCCUUUUGACUAAACGGAUUUAUUCGCUUCGAGAGGGGCCUGCGUCCCAUCAGCUAGUUGGUAGGGUAAUGGCCUACCAAGGCGAUGACGGGUAGGGGACCUGAGAGGGUGGCCCCCCACAAUGGAACUGAAACACGGUCCAUACACCUACGGGUGGCAGCAGUAGGGAAUAUUAGUAAUGGGCGAAAGCCUGAACUAGCAACGCCGCGUGUGCGAAGAAGGCCUUCGGGUUGUAAAGCACUUUUAGAGAGGAUGAGGAAGGACGGUACUCUCAGAAUAAGUCUCGGCUAACUACGUGCCAGCAGCCGCGGUAACACGUAGGAGGCAAACGUUAUCCGGAUUUACUGGGCGUAAAGCGCGUGUAGGUGGUUUGGUAAGUAGGGCGUGAAAGCUCCCGGCUCAACUGGGAGAGGCCGUUCUAAACUGCCAAGCUAGAGGAUGGUAGAGGGAGGUGGAAUUCCGGGUGUAGCGGUGGAAUGCGCAGAUAUCAGGAGGAACACCAGUGGCGAAGGCGGCCUCCUGGGCCACUCCUGACACUCAGACGCGAAAGCUAGGGUAGCAAACGGGAUUAGAGACCCCGGUAGUCCUAGCCCUAAACGAUGUAGACUUGGCGUCGGUGGUUUAAUCGCCAUCGGUGUCGUAGCUAACGCGAUAAGUCUACCGCCUGGGGACUACGGCCGCAAGGUUAAAACUCAAAGGAAUUGACGGGUCCCCGCACAAGCAGCGGAGCGUGUGGUUUAAUUCGACGAUACACGAAGAACCUUACCUGGGUUUGACAUAGCAGUGGUAGGGAAGCGAAAGCGGACCGACCCUUCGGGGAGCUGUUACAGGUGUUGCAUGGCUGUCGUCAGCUCGUGUCGUGAGAUGUUCGGUUAAGUCCGCUAACGAGCGCAACCCGCGUUGUGUGUUACAUGUGUCACACGGGACUGCCGGUUUUAAGCCGGAGGAAGGCGGGGAUGACGUCAAGUCAGCAUGGCCUUUAUAUCUUGGGC
rnacentral:rRNA from 1 species